rnacentral:rRNA from 1 species
UACGGGGGGGGCAAGCGUUGUUCGGAAUUACUGGGCGUAAAGGGCUCGUAGGUGGCCAACUAAGUCGGACGUGAAAUCCCUCGGCUUAACCGGGGAACUGCGUCUGAUACUGGAUGGCUUGAGUUCGGGAGAGGGAUGCGGAAUUCCAGGUGUAGCGGUGAAAUGCGUAGAUAUCUGGAGGAACACCGGUGGCGAAGGCGGCAUCCUGGACCAACACUGACACUGAGGAGCGAAAGCCAGGGGAGCAAACGGG